AUCUGAUUUUCCCCAUCCUGUAGCAACUCAAACCCUAGCUCAAUCAAUCGACAAUCCAAUCCAUGACAUCUUCUUCUUUUGCAAGUGUUUCACAAGUUCCUCCAUGUAAAUACGAUUUGGAUCAAUCAGAAAUGGCCAAUCUAAAAGGCUGUGACAUACUCAAUCGGGUUGAAUCAGGAAGCAUUAAGUGGAUUGUUGGCCAAAUGUCUUCAUUAUGUAAGCUUCUCUUAUCAUCUUCCCGAGAUGUUGCGGGUAUAAAUGUUGAUUUACGGCAAGUGAAAUCCUUGCUAUGGAUGAGUAUUAAUGAUAUUCGAAUUGUUGGUAUUUGGGGUAUGGAAGGAGUUGGAAAGAUAAUGAUUUUUGUUUUCUUGCGGAUGUUAAAGAAUGCAAAAACAGAAUGCGUUCUUCGCGAGGAAUCCUAGUUGGUUUGGUAAUGACAGCAGAAUUACUGCAACAACUAGAGACAAACAUUUGAUAGUGAAAAAUGUCGUAGUAUAUGAAGUGGCUACACUUAGAUUAAAAAACAUUUUGAGUGUAGUCAUGGAUGAUUUGAUAAGAGUUCAAAUGUGAAAUCUCAAUAGUAGAGGAGGAGAAGCUUCAAUCAGAGCGAAAUGUAGGUUUGUUUCUUGGAGCAUGUGUAUCCUCUUGAUAUUGGUUGGUUGGUUUGGUAAUGGCAGUAGAAUUAUUGCAACAACUAGAGACAAACGUUUGAUAGGGAAGAAUGUCAUAGUAUAGAGUGAAACAUAGGUUUGUUUCUUGGAGCAUUUGUAUCCUCUCGAGGUUGAGUGGUUGGUUUGGUAAUAGCAGUAGAAUUAUUGCAACAACUAGAGACAAGCGUUUGAUAGGGAAGAAUGUCGUAGUAUAUGAAGUGACUAUACUUAAAUUACAAAAUGCUAUGUAUGUAGCCAUGGAUUCUUUGAUAAGAGUUCAAAUGUGAAAUCUCGCCAUUAGAGGAGGAGAAACUCUAAUGAGAGCAAAAACUAGGUUUUCUGGGAGCAGUUGUAUCCUCUCAAGCCUGAGUUACAUUUGCUCCCUAAAUUGAUUUAGAAAUCAUAGAAAGAAUAAUGCGAUCAAUUUUGGAUUGCGUUCAUGGUUUGGAAUCCCGGUGUAACAAAUAUGGUGCCAGAGAAUCGAUUGCUCACAAAGAUUGACCAUGAAGUUAUUCUAUCGCUCAAUCAAUAUGCUUUCAAAAAGAAAUUCUAGUUAAGAGUUUUGAGAAACUCCCAUGGGAAACAGUAAAUCAUGCUAAAGACCUUCCUUUUAGCCUUGAAAGUGUGGGUUUCUUUUGUGCAUAGGAAAGGUGUAACUACACAAUGUAGUGCUAAAGAGAGAAUGAAGAAAAACUUGGGAUAAGAAAUUGUUGGACAACUCAAAAUAAGCUAUGGAGUGGAGUCCAUAGAGCAAGAGGUAUUUCUAGAUAUAGUAUAUUUCUUUCGAGGGUAUGAUGAAUAUUACAUCAUAAAAAAUUAAAAUCCUUGUGAGUUCUGGAUUUGAAUUUGCUAUUGGAUUGAGUGUCCUAAUUGAAAAAUUUCGUGGUUGUUUUUCUUGAGUUCAUCUCAGUGGAAUAUACAAUUGAAAUGCAUGAAAAGUCUCGUUUUCUUCUCCGGAGAAUAUACAAUUGACAGCAUGAUUUGAUACAAGAUAUGGGUAGAUAUGUAGUUACUAUGAAAAUGAUCUUGGAGAAUGGAGAACAUCGGAGACCAUGGUGCGGUGAUGAUCAACAAUACAAAUCUACUUUGGUUUGUCGGGGAUGGCUAUCCUUUGGGAUCACUUCCAGCUAAUUUGAACCAAAAGACUUGUUCGUCUUUGAUUCACACGGAGUUCCUUCCAUUAAUUAUGAAGAGAGGAAUAAAGGUACUGAGAAUUCCAGCUAUUUGUUGAUACAUUGUCCAGUAGAAUAGCUAGAGACAUCUAGAGUAUGUUUAUGUUUACCUUUCAUUAGUUGUAGCCAUUGGGAAGUAAAGAAAAAUCCAACAAUCUAAUAAGACCAGAUUCACUAGCAGCUCCUACAUACAUUUAUUUUUGCAGUUUCUAACAUCUUGAGCUCGGCUAUCUAGCGAACCCUAUGGAGAUGAAUCGAAGAUACUUUGUGGGGCUGCAACACCUGUUGUUAUCUACACGGGGUUUCUUAUGAAUCUGCUUUCCGGUGUAAUUGCAGUGAUGUUAAUUACUGAUAGAUAAGAACCAAAGAUUAGGUGUUAAAUCACAUUUUGGAUUUUUAUCGUUUCUUUUUGAGUUUUAUGCAUGAACCAUAUACUUUUUUUCUGUAACUUCAUACUUCCACUGUAUGCCGCAAAUCAAUAGAAUCUUUCUUCUUGUUGAUUAUGCAAUGGUAAUAAAAACGAACUGAUGGUUGUAAUUCAUUGGUAAUACUUGAUGAAAUUAUACAAAAUGUGAAGAAGAUUGGAUGUUGGUUUGGAAGUCAAAAU